rnacentral:rRNA from 1 species
CCUACGGGAGGCAGCAGUGAGGAAUAUUGGUCAAUGGGCGGGAGCCUGAACCAGCCAAGCCGCGUGAGGGAAGAAGGUACAGCGUAUCGUAAACCUCUUUUGUCAGGGAACAAAGGCGGGGACUAGUCCCCGGAUGAGGGUACCUGAAGAAAAAGCAUCGGCUAACUCCGUGCCAGCAGCCGCGGUAAUACGGAGGAUGCGAGCGUUAUCCGGAUUUAUUGGGUUGAAAGGGUGCGCAGGCGGCCUGUUAAGUCAGCGGGAAAAGCCCGGGGCUCAACCCCGGCGAGCCGUUGAAACUGGCGGGCUGGAGUGGGAGAGAAGUACGCGGAAUGCGCGGUGUAGCGGUGAAAUGCUUAGAUAUCGCGCAGAACCCCGAUGGCGAAGGCAGCGUACCGGCUCCACACUGACGCUGAGGCACGAAAGCGUGGGUAUCGAACAGGAUUAGAUACCCUUGUAGUC